rnacentral:misc_RNA from 1 species
AUAUUAACUAUUAAGGACAUUCAUUAUUAAACAAAGAGUUUAUUCGAAAAACAUAGACCAACCCCUUUCAGAAUCAGCCUACAAAAGUGCACAAGUGUAAGUAAACUUGGAAACGAGGCGUGCACAUUUGACAUAGCAACAGCCUCUUUCAAUUCAAUAAUGAUCCUUCCGCAGGUUCACCUACGGAAA